GCGAAUACCGGAGAAUGUUAUCACGGGAGACACACGGCGGGUGCUAACGUCCGUCGUGAAGAGGGAAACAACCCAGACCGCCAGCUAAGGUCCCAAAGUCAUGGUUAAGUGGGAAACGAUGUGGGAAGGCCCAGACAGCCAGGAUGUUGGCUUAGAAGCAGCCAUCAUUUAAAGAAAGCGUAAUAGCUCACUGGUCGAGUCGGCCUGCGCGGAAGAUGUAACGGGGCUAAACCAUGCACCGAAGCUGCGGCAGCGAACGUAUCACUUAAAGCGAUUCAGCGGGUUACGAUUGACGGAGCGAAGCGACGUCAAAGCGUAUACAAAGUCGAGUCGGUUUAAGGAUACGUUCGUUGGGUAGGGGAGCGUUCUGUAAGCCUG
rnacentral:rRNA from 2 species